rnacentral:rRNA from 1 species
UACCCGCAGCACAAGUGGUGGUCAUUAUUAUUGGGCCUAAAGCAUCCGUAGCCGGUUUUACAAGUCCUCCGUUAAAUCCAACUGCUUAACAGAUGGGCCGCGGAGGAUACUAUAAGACUAGGAGGCAGGAGAGGCAAGCGGUACUCAGUGGGUAGGGGUAAAAUCCGUUGAUCCAUUGAAGACCACCAGUGGCGAAGGCGGCUUGCCAGAAUGCGCUCGACGGUGAGGGAUGAAAGCUGGGGGAGCAAACCGG